UCUAAUUAAGUGCGACGAAGUAAACGUCGAUGUGCUGUGAAAAUACUUUAAACUGUGUCAUAUUGAAGACAAACUCCAAGUUUAACUCGCUAAAGUGGAAAACUAGAGGUUCCAAGUGGCUGACACGACAUUCGAGACGAAGUUGAAAGCGUCGUCAACGAGCCCCGACGUAACCGAGAUAUAUACAAGCCGACUUUAACAGUACGAACGAUAUAAACAAUCCCCACCACGUGUCUCCUUGAAUAAUCUCCGAAUAUACCAGUCUUAAUUCGACUUCGAGCGCGAUAACAUCGAGCUCCGAACCAAAACAAAUUGAGAAACUGCGACGAAUCUCGAGGAUCUCUUCUCGAAGAAGGACAGCCUCGGAGAUUCGAGAUAUUUUUCGAAAGUCAUCGUCGCAUCACGCGUCUUGAAUCAUCGAGUUAUUCUGUUAUUAAGUGGCCAUUCUACGACCCUCCUCUCGCAUACCUUAUUAGGACUGAUUACACCAUAACGGCCGUCAACUCAAUUCCCAGCUGUGAUCUUCGUCGCUUCGAAAUUCUGACGACUCGUAAAGAAAAAAAAAAAAAAAAAAAAAAAAAGAAAAGAAAAGAGAGAGAAGAAAGUGCAGCGUAACAGGCAGAAUAGAAGGGAGGGGAAGGGUGGAUCUUAUCGUGUUUUCGAACGAAAGGUGUGAAACGUUUGUCCCAUGGAAGGUGUCAUCCAUGUUCCGUGUAUGUUGGAAGCCGGAUUAUCGGGGCACCGUUUAACCGAUUAUCCGUGCCUCAUUUAUCUGAAUGCCUCGAAAAACGUGUUUAUGUGUGCGAUAGGGAUGGAGGAGAUGGCUGCUUCUUCUCGAAAGGUAAGAGCUUCGGAUUGAGAUUCGGGUUUUUUCAUUGGCGUGGUGUUGAAAAUGCACGUGGUGUUCGGUAUUCGAAAUCAUUUCGACUCUUAUUGAGUAAUUUUUUCAGAUUCAGCUAUCUUAAGAUUUAAAAAAAUUUUUCACAUUUGCUAACUUUUAAUAAAUCUGGCGAAUUAUCUUUAACUUAAAUUAACGAAGAAUUUUUAUUUUUUCGAAAGAUUUAAAUUAGAUUAUUUUUCAGAUCUAAAAAUAGUACAUUAUCACAUUCACGAAUUAAAUUACGAGGCGAGACUGUAAAAUUGAUCGCGUUAUUUAAAUUAUAUUACAAAACGUACAUAACGUGUAUACAUUUCCAAAACAAUUUGUGUUACUCGUUAUAUACGCGAAUAUAUUAGUUAUACACGCUAGUUAUUCGUUACAUUAGCAGGAUGCGAAACGGUAAAUAACUCCAUGGGAAUAAUUACAAUAAAAGGGAAACGAGUACACAAACUGAAUCCUCAAGAGGAUCGUACAAUUACAAAAUGCAUUCGACGUAACGCAGUGUGUAAAACGCUCUUUAUUCUCGAGCCUCCCGCUGCGGAUCGGGUCCAUCGAGACCGCAUUAAUCUUCCCUUGAAUAACAAGUUUUUGCGCGGUUUUAAACGUGUAACAAUUCUCAUCAAUCCCUCGAAAAAGUUCCCGUGAAAAAUUCGCAAUCUCAUCCCGCUCUCGGUGACUAUGAACGAUCGAAUCGAAUGGAAAUACUUGCUCGAUAUAAGGGGCCUUCCUUCGAGGAGGGGAGAAAAUAAUCGAAACGAGCACGUUGUUAUCGCGUUUAAUUCGGUGAAAGCAUUUUCCUCGAUCGAUUGUACGAUAAAUAUUACGGUAAAUAUUAAGUAGGCCUCGGGUGACGCAAUGAAAGUUCGGAGAUAAAAAAAAUUCGAUAGCAACUCUCGAAUCUGUUCAACGUGUUUCGAAGAGGGGUGCACGGGAGAGGAAAAAAUCGAUAUUGAAUAUAAAUAGGAGAUAUGUCGCGAUUUUAAUAACGGGUGCCAAUUUUAAUGUUAGGUUUCAUUAAAUAAUUGUCAAAAUUUUUAGAUUAAACUUAUUUUUAUUAAGAUUAGAUUUUUAGGGGAUGUAUUAUUAUGCUUCAACACGAGCAAAAUUUCAAUCACCCUGAUCGAACGAUAAUUCAUUUAACGCGUAUCGAUAUAUUCACACGAAUGCUAAUGCAUUAUGAUUAGACAUCUGUCAAUAUUUUUUUCGCCCUUCCAAACGAUCGCAUUGAAUAUUUGAAUAUUUCGGGAGGGGUUGACCGAAAUUAGGUCGUAUUUCACGCGGAAAUAAUUUGGUUAAUAAUUAGAAAACGACGGCCAUGAUUCGAUUUUACUUUAAUACACCAAUGAUGAUUGGUUUUAAUAUUCAAUCGGGACACGAAUCAAAAGGGUCCAUUUUUUUU